AAAAUAGAAUAAUUAAGUUCAUUUCGUUUACACUGAAAGGGUCAAUAUAUAAUUGUUUU
rnacentral:tRNA from 1 species